rnacentral:rRNA from 1 species
CGUAGAAGGCUAGUGUUAGUUAUCUUUAUUGGGUUUAAAGGGUAAGUAGACGGUAAAUAAACUUAAAAUCAAGUAGUUAUUUACUAGAGUUAUAUAGGAGAAGGGAAGAAUGACUGGAGUAGAGAUAAAAUUCGUUGAUACCAGUAGGACUGUUAACGGCGAAGGCAACCUUCUAUCUAAUAACUGACGUUGAGAGACGAAGGCUUGGGUAGCAAACAGGAUU